rnacentral:rRNA from 1 species
GACGAACGCUGGCGGCGUGCUUAACACAUGCAAGUCGAGCGGUAAGGCCCUUUCGGGGGUACACGAGCGGCGAACGGGUGAGUAACACGUGGGUGACCUGCCCUCAGCUCUGGGAUAAGCCUGGGAAACUGGGUCUAAUACUGGAUAUGACUCCACGGUGCAUGUCGUGGGGUGAAAGCCUUGUGCGGCUGAGGAUGGGCCCGNGGCCUAUCAGCUUGUUGGUGGGGGAUGGCCUACCAAGGCGACGACGGGUAGCCGGCCUGAGAGGGCGACCGGCCACACUGGGACUGAGACACGGCCCAGACUCCUACGGGAGGCAGCAGUGGGAAUCUUGCGCAAUGGGCGAAAGCCUGACGCAGCGACGCCGCGUGAGGGAUGAUGGCCU